UGAUGGACGUCUAUUUUCAUCUAUGGCCCCUAAUUAUGUAUAUGGCAGCGCCUAUUACCUCCUAUGGCAGCCCUAUGGUCUAUAUGGCAGCCCUAUUAUGUAUAUGGCAGCCCUAUUCUCUAUAUGGCAGCACUAUGGUCUAUAGGGCAGCACUAUGGUCUAUAUGGCAGACCUAUUACGUAUAUGGCAGCACCGUGGUCUAUAUGGCAGCCCUAUUACGUAUAUGGCAGCCCUAUUACCUAUAUGGCAGCACUAUGGUCUAUAUGGCAGCCCUAUUCUCUAUAUGGCAGCCCUAUUAUGUAUAUGGCAGCCCUAUUCUCUAUAUGGCAGCCCUAUUAUGUAUAACUGGCGCCCUAUUACCUCUAUGGCAAGCCUCUAUGGUCCUAUAUGGCAGCCCUAUUAUGUAUAUGGCAGCCCUAUUCUCUCUAUGGCAGCACUAUGGUCUAUAGGGCAGCCUAUGGUCUAUAUGGCAGCCCUAUUAUCUGUUAUGGCAGCCCACUACUGGUCUAUAUGGCCAGCCCUAAUUAUCUAUAUGGCCAGCCCCUAUUCACCUAUAUCGGCAAGCCUAUUUAUGUAUAACUGGCAGCCUAUUCUCUCUAUGGCAGCCCUAUUACGCUACAUGGCAAGCCCUAUUCGCCUAAUGGGCACGUACCGGUGACGUGGCACUCUGCUGGCGUGCUCCGCUGGGCGCGCGUGGAUAGCGGAAUGGGGACGCGGGGAUGUCGUCGCCCCCCGUAGCGCACAGCGAUGCUUGUUACCGACCCACCAUCCCG
rnacentral:lncRNA from 1 species